CUAAUUUAUGGCUGAAGGUUGGAUGAAUGUGUUUCACAUGUUAAACUUCAAAUGACUAUAAUACCCUUAUGUCAAUGUUAGGUAUAAAUAUUAUCUUCCAUGAAGUAAAGAAAACAUCACUUGUAUAAUUAUUAUCUUUGAGUCAAAUUAAUUAAGUUAAGAUGACUUUUCUUAAGAAAGUUUUUCUCUUUAUUGCUCUCUUUGUUGCAAUUUCAGUUAAUCUGUGUUGGAGUUCUAAAGUGAUGGCUUUAAGAGAGCUACCAUUUGAUAUUGCAAAGAUGAAGGUAAAACUACCUUUACUUGGUAAUGGUCUUACUUGUUAUCGAUUUUGCAACGACGAUAGCGAUUGCGCUGAUGGGACUAUUUGUAGACGCUGUGCCUACAAUUAUUUUACUCCGAAUGAUUGUUCCAUAUUGUUUUAACAAAUGCGCUUUUAAUGGUGAAGAUUAUUGUGGAACUGUCAUUCAAGCGAGUUAAAUAAUGUUGUGUUUCUAAGAAAGUUAAAUAAUAAACGCGUUGUUAUUGGUGAAGUAUGCUUGAAGUGCGCAGAUUAUAUUUACUGCGUACAAAGGAUGAAUGUAACUACUAUUAUAUGUUUGAUAUACCUUUGUGUAUAUUCAAGCAUUUUAAAUAGUGUUGUGUUUCCAAGUUUGUAUAAUAAGAAGAUAAAUAUGUAACCUAGCUAGUUUUCCAAAUAUUGGGAACUAUCUACCUAUUGUAAUGUAUGGGUUACAACUUAAAUGAAUAUAAGUAUAUUUUUACUUGUCUUUA